GCCUAUACAUGCAAGUCGAGCGAACAGAUAAGGAGCUUGCUCCUUUGACGUUAGCGGCGGACGGGUGAGUAACACGUGGAUAACCUACCUAUAAGACUGGGAUAACUUCGGGAAACCGGAGCUAAUACCGGAUAACAUAUUGAACCGCAUGGUUCAAUAGUGAAAGGCGGCUUUGCUGUCACUUAUAGAUGGAUCCGCGCCGUAUUAGCUAGUUGGUAAGGUAACGGCUUACCAAGGCAACGAUACGUAGCCGACCUGAGAGGGUGAUCGGCCACACUGGAACUGAGACACGGUCCAGACUCCUACGGGAGGCAGCAGUAGGGAAUCUUCCGCAAUGGGCGAAAGCCUGACGGAGCAACGCCGCGUGAGUGAUGAAGGUCUUCGGAUCGUAAAACUCUGUUAUCAGGGAAGAACAAAUGUGUAAGUAACUGUGCACAUCUUGACGGUACCUGAUCAGAAAGCCACGGCUAACUACGUGCCAGCAGCCGCGGUAAUACGUAGGUGGCAAGCGUUAUCCGGAAUUAUUGGGCGUAAAGCGCGCGUAGGCGGUUUUUUAAGUCUGAUGUGAAAGCCCACGGCUCAACCGUGGAGGGUCAUUGGAAACUGGAAAACUUGAGUGCAGAAGAGGAAAGUGGAAUUCCAUGUGUAGCGGUGAAAUGCGCAGAGAUAUGGAGGAACACCAGUGGCGAAGGCGACUUUCUGGUCUGUAACUGACGCUGAUGUGCGAAAGCGUGGGGAUCAAACAGGAUUAGAUACCCUGGUAGUCCACGCCGUAAACGAUGAGUGCUAAGUGUUUAUGGGGUUUCCGCCCCUUAGUGCUGCAGCUAACGCAUUAAGCACUCCGCCUGGGGAGUACGACCGCAAGGUUGAAACUCAAAGGAAUUGACGGGGACCCGCACAAGCGGUGGAAGCAUGUGGUUUUAUUCGAAGCAACGCGAAGAACCCUUACCAAAUCUGACAUUCCUUGACCGCUCUAGAGAUAGAGUCUUCCCCUUCGGGGACAAGUGGACAGUGGUGCAUGCUUGUCGUCAGCUCUGUUCUGGAGAUGUUCGGGUAAGUCCCGCACCAAGCGCAUCCUUAAGCUUAGUUGCCAUCAUUAAGUUGGGCACUCCUAAGUUGACUGCCGGGUGACAAACGAGAAAGGGUGGUAAUGACUUCAAAUCACUUGCCUAUGAAUUGGCUACACCCGGUCAAUGCAAAUACAAGGGCACCUAUCGCGAGGUCUAGUAAACCCUAAUAAAGUUGGUUCUCACGUG
rnacentral:rRNA from 1 species